rnacentral:misc_RNA from 1 species
AAGUCGUAACAAGGUUUCCGUAGGUGAACCUGCGGAAGGAUCAUUACUGAAAUUUCUUUAUACAUCGUGAACCAUUUUCAUUGAGUUUGUCGGAUCUCUUCUAUUGAUCUUGACCAUUUUUUCUUCGGAAAAGGCAGUCAGGUCGAGAGGAGGUAAGGAUAACUCGAUGAAAAACAUAUUAAACACAAUAUAACAUGCAGUCUGAUAACGAAUACAAUCAAAAAACAACUUUUAACAAGGGAUCUCUUGGCUCUC